GUUGAUAAUCUGUCUCUUUCCAAUUGACUUCGAUCGAUUUCAACCAGGUCGUCCGUUGAACAGGUUGAACAUACUUACACCAAUACUAAUGCGUGUUUUGUGCGUUUGGCACACGCAAAAUAUCAAAAACAACAGAGCGCCGGUAAAAUUUCGACGCAUUUCGUAACGGGCAAGAAAACAAGCUAAUUUUCCGAUACAAAUUAUGAAUCAGAGCCUAUUAUGUCGGCUCCACCGGUCGACGGAGGGCUUCUAUUUCAGCGAUGGUUCCGUUCAGUGCAUCCCCACCCGAAGUAGGACCGCCAGGUGCUGCAGCAACAAUUGGAGGAGCCAGUAGCCCUAAUCCCGACAUCAUGCCUACAAUAAUAUGGUGGUUUCGUCGGUGCUGGUCAGCGAAUGGACGGAACAAAAUGCCCCGGACAGACGAACCUACUUCUGAAUCAUCAAGCAAAUUUCCUGGGAAAGGCCGGACGAAGUUAUAGCAGCAAAAAAUUGCUUUUCCAGUGCCCCUGGAUGAAGUACCGGUCCGAUAAAGGAAAAGUACUACCACAACUUUAACACCAAGGAACCACCGGAAUAUGUUGAGUUGAUUGAUUUGAUUUGAUGUUUUAUUUGUUGAAGCAGAAUUGAAGCAGAUGUUUUAUUUGAGUUGAAGCAGAAAGUCGGCGACAAACGGGUUGUUAGGAAAGCAGCCAAGUUGGAAUUAAAAAACGGUUACAGCUGCUUCCGGUGGUGCGAUACUCAUGUUGAUUCUUCCGGUUAGAACGCUCGUAGAAUCACCAGCACCGGCCAAUGCUAGCUAUUUCUUACGUCUUUAUCCGAUAGGGGAGCAUAGUUUCGGCAAAGAAUUCGUCCUAUGGAUCAAGCCAUGGCCAUGGCUUGAAGCUGGCUACUCAACAGAAAUGAUCCCGCUAUCGGAUCAGGUUCUCGAUUUUUGGAAUAAGUAAUAGAAGAUAUUUGGAUAGUUCGGAUGUUUUUAAACGUAUCCGGAAGAUGUUAUUCCUGAAUGUAGUCCGGUCCGCGUUUUUAUAUCGAGAUAAAAACUAAAAGCUGGUCAUGACCCGAACCUUAUCAACUCUGUCGGGAGCAUCAAACGCAUCAGGAACAUUGGUUUUCCAAAAACUUUGGUGUGGAAUGAUGAAUUGAAAUUCAAACAACGACAUUCAACUGGAAGUUUUCGUUGAUAGAUGCCCCCUUAGACGGAAGAUUUCAAACACGGAGAAGAAAGUGUUCGAAGGAAGGAAGCUAUUCCGACUACAAGACACUACCGGGAAGUUCUUUUGAAGUUAUCUGCCUUUCUGGUAUCUCUUGUCAGCCAAAGCAGGAAGAUGACCCUGGAAGAAUGUACGAAACUCGUCGCAUUUGACCUCGAAAACCGAAGUGAAGGUUCGGACAUCGAGGGCAGACUGCCCCCCAUUUUUCGCUUUAUGGACGUUUGAAGUUUCUAAAAAUAAAAUAAAAAACAUAGUUAAAUACAAAGGCAAAAAACUACAGUCGAACUUUAUAAGUGAAACUCUGAAUAUAUAUAUAGUUUUUAUAAGUAGACAGCAUAACAUAAUCAGAAUUAAACAUUCAUAUUGAAAUUUUCUCAAU